rnacentral:rRNA from 1 species
GGUGUAGGCGGCUUUGCAAGUCAAGUGUGAAAUCCCAGGGCCCAACCCUGGAACUGCACUCGAUACUGCAUCGCUAGAGUCCCGGAGAGGAUGGCGGAAUUCCAGGUGUAGAGGUGAAAUUCGUAGAUAUCUGGAGGAACACCAGUGGCGAAGGCGGCCAUCUGGACGGUGACUGACGCUCAGACCCGAAAGCGUGGGGAGCAAACA